rnacentral:rRNA from 1 species
GUUGUAUGGUUAAGUGACUAAGCGUACACGGUGGAUGCCUUGGCAGUCAGAGGCGAUGAAAGACGUAGUAACUUGCGAUAAGCCCAGAUUAGGUAGUAACAACCAUUUGAGUCUGGGAUUUCUGAAUGGGGAAACCCACGUGCAUAAGCACGUAUCCUUACCUGAAUACAUAGGGUAAGGAGGCGAACCGGGGGAACUGAAACAUCUAAGUACCCCGAGGAAAAGAAAUCAACCGAGAUUCCGAAAGUAGCGGCGAGCGAAAUUGGACUAGCCCUUAAGCUUUACACGCGUUAGACGAACGGUCUGGAAAGUCCGACGAUACAGGGUGAUAGUCCCGUAGUUGACGACGUGUGUUCAGUGAAAUCGAGUAGGGCGGGACACGUGAUAUCCUGUCUGAAUAUGGGGGGACCAUCCUCCAAGGCUAAAUACUACUGACUGACCGAUAGUGAACCAGUACCGUGAGGGAAAGGCGAAAAGAACCCCUGUGAGGGGAGUGAAAUAGAACCUGAAACCGUGUACGUACAAGCAGUAGGAGCAGGCUUUGUCCUGUGACUGCGUACCUUUUGUAUAAUGGGUCAGCGACUUAUAUUCAGUGGCAAGGUUAACCAUCUAGGGGAGCCGUAGGGAAACCGAGUCUUAACUGGGCGUUCAGUCUCUGGAUAUAGACCCGAAACCAGGUGAUCUAGCCAUGGGCAGGUUGAAGGUUGAGUAACAUCAACUGGAGGACCGAACCGACUAAUGUUGAAAAAUUAGCGGAUGACUUGUGGCUAGGGGUGAAAGGCCAAUCAAACCUGGAGAUAGCUGGUUCUCCCCGAAAGCUAUUUAGGUAGCGCCUCGGACGAAUACUACUGGGGGUAGAGCACUGUUAAGGCUAGGGGGUCAUCCCGACUUACCAACCCUUUGCAAACUCCGAAUACCAGUAAGUACUAUCCGGGAGACACACGGCGGGUGCUAACGUCCGUCGUGGAGAGGGAAACAACCCAGACCGCCAGCUAAGGUCCCAAAUUACUACUAAGUGGGAAACGAUGUGGGAAGGCUCAGACAGCCAGGAUGUUGGCUUAGAAGCAGCCAUCAUUUAAAGAAAGCGUAAUAGCUCACUGGUCGAGUCGGCCUGCGCGGAAGAUGUAACGGGGCUAAGUAGUAAACCGAAGCUGCGGCAAUAUACUUUUGUAUAUUGGGUAGGGGAGCGUUCUGUAAGCGGUUGAAGGUGUGUGGUAACGCAUGCUGGACGUAUCAGAAGUGCGAAUGCUGACAUGAGUAACGAUAAAGGGGGUGAAAAACCUCCUCGCCGGAAGACCAAGGGUUCCUGUCCAACGUUAAUCGGGGCAGGGUAAGUCGACCCCUAAGGCGAGGCCGAAAGGCGUAGUCGAUGGGAAACGGGUUAAUAUUCCCGUACUUCUUACAAUUGCGAUGGGGGGACGGAGAAGGCUAGGUGGGCCUGGCGACGGUUGUCCAGGUUCAAGUGCGUAGGCUUAAGAGUUAGGUAAAUCCGGCUCUUUUUAAGGCUGAGACACGACGUCGAGCACCUACGGGUGUGAAGUCAUUGAUGCCAUGCUUCCAGGAAAAGCCUCUAAGCUUCAGAUUGUAAGGAAUCGUACCCCAAACCGACACAGGUGGUCGGGUAGAGAAUACCAAGGCGCUUGAGAGAACUCGGGUGAAGGAACUAGGCAAAAUGGUACCGUAACUUCGGGAGAAGGUACGCUCUUGAUGGUGAAGUCCCUUGCGGAUGGAGCUGACGAGAGUCGCAGAUACCAGGUGGCUGCAACUGUUUAUUAAAAACACAGCACUGUGCAAAAUCGUAAGAUGACGUAUACGGUGUGACGCCUGCCCGGUGCCGGAAGGUUAAUUGAUGGGGUUAGACUUCGGUCGAAGCUCUUGAUCGAAGCCCCGGUAAACGGCGGCCGUAACUAUAACGGUCCUAAGGUAGCGAAAUUCCUUGUCGGGUAAGUUCCGACCUGCACGAAUGGCGUAAUGAUGGCCACGCUGUCUCCACCCGAGACUCAGUGAAAUUGAAAUCGCUGUGAAGAUGCAGUGUACCCGCGGCUAGACGGAAAGACCCCGUGAACCUUUACUACAGCUUGGCACUGAACAUUGACCCUACAUGUGUAGGAUAGGUGGGAGGCUUUGAAGCACGUACGCCAGUAUGUGUGGAGCCGUCCUUGAAAUACCACCCUUGUAGUGUUGAUGUUCUAACGUCGACCCCUAAUCGGGGUUGCGGACAGUGCCUGGUGGGUAGUUUGACUGGGGCGGUCUCCUCCCAAAGAGUAACGGAGGAGCACGAAGGUGGGCUAAUCACGGUUGGACAUCGUGAGGUUAGUGCAAUGGCAUAAGCCCGCUUGACUGCGAGAAUGACAAUUCGAGCAGGUGCGAAAGCAGGUCAUAGUGAUCCGGUGGUUCUGAAUGGAAGGGCCAUCGCUCAACGGAUAAAAGGUACUCCGGGGAUAACAGGCUGAUACCGCCCAAGAGUUCAUAUCGACGGCGGUGUUUGGCACCUCGAUGUCGGCUCAUCACAUCCUGGGGCUGAAGUCGGUCCCAAGGGUAUGGCUGUUCGCCAUUUAAAGUGGUACGCGAGCUGGGUUUAGAACGUCGUGAGACAGUUCGGUCCCUAUCUGCCGUGGGCGUUGGAAGAUUGAAGGGGGCUGCUCCUAGUACGAGAGGACCGGAGUGGACGAACCUCUGGUGUUCGGGUUGUGUCGCCAGACGCAUUGCCCGGUAGCUAAGUUCGGAAUCGAUAACCGCUGAAAGCAUCUAAGCGGGAAGCGAGCCCUGAGAUGAGUCUUCCCUGAUACUUUAAGUAUCCUAAAGGGUUGUCGGAGACUACGACGUUGAUAGGUCAGGUGUGUAAGUGCUGUGAGGCAUUGAGCUAACUGAUACUAAUUGCCCGUGAGGCUUAACCAUACAACACCCAAGGGGUUU